UACGUAGGGUGCAAGCGUUGUCCGGAAUUAUUGGGCGUAAAGAGCUCGUAGGCGGUCUGUCGCGUCGGCUGUGAAAACUCGGGGCUCAACUCCGAGCUUGCAGUCGAUACGGGCAGGCUAGAGUUCGGCAGGGGAGACUGGAAUUCCUGGUGUAGCGGUGAAAUGCGCAGAUAUCAGGAGGAACACCGGUGGCGAAGGCGGGUCUCUGGGCCGAUACUGACGCUGAGGAGCGAAAGCGUGGAGAGCGAACAGG
rnacentral:rRNA from 1 species